rnacentral:rRNA from 1 species
UGGGGAAUAUUGCACAGUGGGCGCAAGCCUGAUGCAGCAACGCCGCGUGAGGGAUGACGGCCUUCGGGUUGUAAACCUCUUUUAGUACGGGAAGAAGCGAAAGUGACGGUACCUGCAGAAAAAGCACCGGCUAACUACGUGCCAGCAGCCGCGGUAAUACGUAGGGUGCGAGCGUUGUCCGGAAUUAUUGGGCGUAAAGAGCUCGUAGGCGGUCUGUCGCGUCUGCUGUGAAAAUCCCGAGGGCUCAACCUCGGGCCUGCAGUGGGUACGGGCAGACUAGAGUGCGGUAGGGGAGAAUGGAAUUCCUGGUGUAGCCUGGAAUGCGCAGAUAUCAGGAGGAACACCGAUGGCGAAGGCAGUUCUCUGGGCCGUAACUGACGCUGAGGAGCGAAAGCGU